GGUGAACGCUGGCGGCGUGCCUAACACAUGCAAGUCGAGCGGGCCGGGGCUUCGGCCCCGGCUAGCGGCGAACGGCUGAGUAACACGUGGGUAACCUGCCCCCAAGUGGGGGAUAACCCUGGGAAACCGGGGCUAAUACCGCAUGUGGUUGCCGGGCGGAUGCUCGGCAACUAAAGGGCCCGCAAGGGCUCGCUUGGGGAGGGGCCCGCGGCCUAUCAGGUAGUUGGUGGGGUAAUGGCCCACCAAGCCGAUGACGGGUAGCUGGCCUGAGAGGGUG
rnacentral:rRNA from 1 species